rnacentral:lncRNA from 1 species
UUCAAUUUGUAUGUGUUAUAACAAUUACAUGUUACAUUGCCAGUCGAUAAAAUAUAUGUUACAUUAUACAAGUAUUUCUGUUCUUGAGAUUAUAUCAUAACGGUGUUUGUUUCUAUUUCUGUGCUCAUUAUAGAAGAAAAUGAAAAGUGUUAUUGAACAAUUAUUGAGAUACUUGAAGAGUUGAAUAUUGGAAGCUCAGCAUAAGUGAAGCUUUAAUAAUUCCACAAGGAAAACAGUUCUAAAGCAAUUCUAGUAUUCAAUUAUUCAUCUAAAAUUUGUGUUUAAAAAAGACUAAGAGGAUAUCAGGUAAAACAGAUGGAAUGUUAACAUGCAAACACAUACAGUACAAGCAUUAGAUCAAGUCUUUAAGUGAGCUUACGGAAUUGACAAGCACGCGUCAUUGUUCCCGUCAUCUUAAAUCAGCAACUGAUUUGUGUGGUCUGUAUAAAUGCACCGAACAUUGAGCAAGAAUCUAAUUGGAUACUUUCCCUUUGUUCUCGCUAAAAUACACCGAUCAUUGAGCAACUGUCUAAUUGGAUACUUUCACUUUGUUCUCGCUAAAGUAUCUCUGGAGACAUUAACAAUACACAUCUUCAAAUGUAUGCCAUAGCAAGAGACUAAAGUCUUCGAACGUAUGCUGCUAGAACAGACUAAGAUCGUCAAACAUACGCUGUGACAACGGUUUAUCUUUGCUGCUCCCACAGAAAAGGAUCUUCAAAUGCACGCUGUAACAGUAGACUUCAAUUUUCAAACAACGGCGUAUCUUCAAACGUAUGCUAUAACAAGAGUAAUAGAUCUACGGACGUAUGCUAUAACAGUAGUCAUAAAUCUUUACUAAUAUGCUAUAACAUUGUAGAAGUAUAGAAAAUAUUUGUGCGGUAAAAUGGACCUGUAAUUCUCAUCAUUUGCGGAACUUACUCACAUUCUGGCAUGGCACAUAUAACUUUGGAGAUAGAAAUAUGUUCGUUUGGCAGAACUAAUGAUAUGAUCUGAAAAUACAAAUUCUGCACAACGCAACCGCCUGUGUAAUCUGUUUAACACUAGCAGACUGAAAAUGAAAGAAGUUUCCAGUCAGACUCAACAUGUAUUGAAACCGUCAUGAGUUAUUUCCACACAGGAUUACGUACACAUAUAAAUUACCGUUUAAAGAAAUCACCGCAGAUUAGAAGGACUUAAGUCGUGAUCGACCUUCGAGUUUAAUUUAACAAGCGGUAAUAGUUUAAAGUUACACUAAUAAAUCUUGAAUUCUUGGGUGAAAAAAACAUACUUGAAAAUAAAAAUAACAUUUUUCAUUACGGUGCAUUGAAUCCAUGAUAAUAGUGGUUUGAAAAUAAACUCGUUAUAAACUAGUACAAUACAAAAUUUUACUUAAUUUGGUACAUGUUAUUCUUUCGGGAGACACGAGUUCUACAAGAAGUAAUAAAUACUGCUUAAGAUAUUUUCCGCUACAGUUUAUUGGUUUUAAAAGAGAAAAGGUUUAUAUGCUUGUAACGACUAUAGAGUGUUUAAAUGACCAGAUUGCAUUAGCUUACUGUAAGUACGGUCAAGCAUAAAGGGAUUAUUUUACUAAUACACAAAAGCUUUGGAGAAAACAAGGCGCAUGUCGGAAUAAUGACAAGCACAAGGUUAUAGCUUAAAGACGCUUGUAUUUGGCAACGGAUAUGAAUGCGUACUGUUUGUAGGGGAGAAAAUUUGAUUUUGAAAUUGUUAAUUAUGAAACAAAUAGAACUAAAAAACAAGAUUGGAUCUAUGAACUUGGAUUUAGUACCGGAAAGAAAACGGAAUAUAACACUGUCAAUCUUAUAUAACGGUGGAAAGGAAUCAGAUCAAGGGGAAACUUGAACUCUUAUUUUCCUGUUUGGGAUUAACGCAUUAAAGACCUAAGUCUGUGUUUUAUCAUAAGGAAAACUCGACUCUGUUUGAAGGACGUGCAGAAAUUUGAAGUGAAAUUGUGAUUGUUCUAACUAAAUAACGGACGGAAUUAAUAAUACCCGUUAACCUUGUCACGGGUUACUUGAACAUAAACUGAUGUGGAAUAUUAGACAACCUCUGAAUUAAAUGAAAAGCUGUCGGUGAGAGUAUUGGAUGUUAUCUUUCAACACGGUAACUAAUGACUUGAUCUUACAGAUUGAUUUCUAAAAAGAUAAAUUCAGUAACAGUUUUUUCAGUUAAUUACAUUCUUCUAUGAAUUAUAUAUACGGGGCAUUGAUUAAAUCCACAGCCGUAACAUUGAAAUGGGAUGUGAACAUCCUUAUACAACACUCAAUAAAUCGUUCAAACUAAACACAGACUGUCUUUAAACUACAGAAAAUUUAAAAUAAAUAACGCAAUAGAGCGUACUGACGUAUUUAAAGAAAAUUUAUGAAUUAUUCGCAUCUCGUUUACUAAAGUCACUACAUGUGGUCCCCCUACCGGAGAAACUUUAUAAUCCCUCAAAACGUUUUUCCAUAUCUUUAGACGGAUGACAGCAAAUUUAUUAAGAAUUCAUCUGAAGGUGAAAUUGGAUUAACUCGAACGGGUUUGAGGAAAAUAUACAUUUGAUGUACGUAUAACCCGCACCUCAAUGCAAAAUAAAAGAUAUUGAAAAUUGUGCGCUGUGGAAAAGAAAAACAUACUCGUAAACAAAGUUGAAAAAAAACCCAGAUAAGUGACGCUGUAACGAUGAAGAGUGUUGAAGAUAAUUACGAUACGUUAAGAAUUUCUAGCAGAAUGCAUUUAGUUAACUGUGAGACACUCCUUGAAGACUUGAUUUGAUUUUUAACGAUUUUGA